ACUAAUUAAAAGUAGAAGUCGAAAAGGAUAUAACGAGCUUUGGAUUCUACAAACUCACUUAAAUUCAAAUUAUUACAUUUCAAUUUAAUUAAUUUUCAGACAAAUAAUUAUAAACAUUUCAACACGUCAUUUCUCCAUUAAGCAAAAACGAACUGUUUUCGUCUGUUAUUUUUGGCGCGAUUUUUCUGGCAGUCUGCCAUUUCGCCUAUCAGCUGUUCAAAAUCCCAUAAUGUCCUUACUGCUGCUCCUGUUUAUCGUGCCUUCGUUAUUCCUAAAGCAAAAAACAUACAAAAAUUUUCAAACACAUUAACUUCAACUCGUAGCAUGUACUUUAGUUAGUAAAAAUACCAACUUGUGUACAUAAACCAAAAAUUACUUAAUUUUUAUUAAUUUUGAGGCUUAGAAAUGGAAUACCCAGAAGGCAAAAAUCAACAUUUACGACACCUGCUCUUCUUUGCCGAAGCCGCCCGGGACAUUUGCGAGGUGUAUGGGGAAGGUGUCAUAGGCGAAUCUACGGCAAAGUUCAAGAAAGGGGACUUUGACGUCAAUGGCACGUCCCGCAGCGGAAGGUCUCGAUGAAGAACGUCUCAAAUCAAUUUUAAAGGAGAACGGCCGCCAAACCAAUCGGGAAUUGGGUGCCUUACAAGUUCAAUAUUAAUAUUUAAGUCAUGGUUGAAUAAUUUAAAUUUUUUGUUUUUAAAUAAAACAAAAGCUCAAAAUGUA